AAGUCGUAACAAGGUUUCCGUAGGUGAACCUGCGGAAGGAUCAUUAAAGAAUUAGGCUUCGCGCCAGUCUCCACCUCUGUAUACCGAAACUAUGUUGCUUUGGCAGGCCCCUGCAUUUCUCGGGCCUGCCAGAGGUUAUAAACCCUAGAAUCUCUGCUGUCUGAGUACUAUACAAUAGUUAAAA
rnacentral:misc_RNA from 1 species